rnacentral:rRNA from 1 species
AACGAACGCUGGCGGCAUGCCUAACACAUGCAAGUCGAACGAGCACUUCGGGUCUAUGGGCGCCCGGGUGCGUAACGCGUGGGAAGAUGCCCUUAGGUUCGGAAUAACUCUCCGAAAGGGGUGCUAAUACCGGAUAAUGUCUUCUGACCAACGACUUAUCGCCGUUGGAUGGGCCCGCGUUGGAUUAGCUAGUUGGUACGGUAAAAGCCUACUAAGGCGACGAUCAAUAGCUGGUUUGAGAGGAUGCUCAGCCACACUGGGAUGGAGACACGGCCCGGACUCCUACGGGAGGCAGCAGUGGCGAAUAUUGGAAAAGGGGCGAAAGCCUAAGACAGCAACGCCGCGUGAGUCAUGAAGGCCUUAGGGUUGUAAAUCUCUUUUAACCGAGAUGAUAAUGACAGUACCGGGAGAAUAAGCCCCGGCUAACUCCGUG